AAUCGAAGGCAGGCGACAGGAGGAGGACGAGGUUUGCAGGUGUUCGCGUGCGUCCUUCGUGGCCUUGUUAACGGGCUACCUUUUUAUCUUACCGCAUCGACCUUCCUCUAACUCCGUCAUACGGGAUAGGUAAAAUAAUAGAGCAGUCCCGAAAAACGACGUAACUCGAGGAGGAGUGUUUAACGAAGAGAACGAGGAGGAAGUAAUCCGAGCGUAAUACAAGGGAAGCGUAUACUGAAGAGAAAAAAAGGGUGAAAGAAAAAAGGGGUUACGGGUUGACAGAGAAGAAGA